rnacentral:rRNA from 1 species
CAGUCGAGCGGUAACAGGGGGUGCUUGCACCCCGCUGACGAGCGGCGGACGGGUGAGUAAUGCAUAGGAAACUGCCCAGUAGUGGGGGAUAGCCCGGGGAAACCCGGAUUAAUACCGCGUACGCCCUUCGGGGGAAAGCAGGGGAUCUUCGGACCUUGCGCUAUUGGAUGUGCCUAUGUCGGAUUAGCUAGUUGGUGGGGUAAAGGCCUACCAAGGCGACGAUCCGUAGCUGGUCUGAGAGGAUGAUCAGCCACAUCGGGACUGAGACACGGCCCGAACUCCUACGGGAGGCAGCAGUGGGGAAUAUUGGACAAUGGGGGCAACCCUGAUCCAGCCAUGCCGCGUGUGUGAAGAAGGCUUUCGGGUUGUAAAGCACUUUCAGUGAGGAGGAAAAGUUGGUCGUUAAUACCGGCCAGCCUUGACGUUACUCACAGAAGAAGCACCGGCUAACUCCGUGCCAGCAGCCGCGGUAAUACGGAGGGUGCAAGCGUUAAUCGGAAUUACUGGGCGUAAAGCGCGCGUAGGUGGUUUGAUAAGCGAGAUGUGAAAGCCCCGGGCUUAACCUGGGAACGGCAUUUCGAACUGUCAGGCUAGAGUAUGGUAGAGGAGUGUGGAAUUUCCUGUGUAGCGGUGAAAUGCGUAGAUAUAGGAAGGAACACCAGUGGCGAAGGCGGCACUCUGGUAGCCAAUACUGACACUGAGUGCGAAAGCGUGGGGAGCAGACAGGAUUAGAUACCCUGGUAGUCGACGCCGUAA